rnacentral:rRNA from 1 species
GUCCACGCCGUAAACUAUGGAUACUAGGUGUCCGGGAAGUUAACCUCCUGGGUACCGAAGCUCACGCAUUAAGUAUCCCGCCUGGGGAGUACGGUCGCAAGACUAAAACUCAAAGGAAUUGACGGGGCCCGCACAAGCGGUGGAGUAUGUGGUUUAAUUCGAAGCAACGCGCAGAACCUUACCUGGGCUUAACAUCCCCUGACAACUACAGAGAUGUAGCUUUCCCUUCGGGGACAGGGAGAUAGGUGCUGCAUGGCUGUCGU